CCCAUAGCUCAGUUGGUUAGAGCAGCGGACUCAUAAUCCGUUGGUCCCUGGUUCGAGUCCAGGUGGG
rnacentral:tRNA from 1 species